UUAUGCACUUGGAGUUGUUUACCAUCCUGGAGGGAUUUCUCAAUAGUUCCCUGUGAAGGAUUCCUCCGUGCUCCUCAGCGGAGAGCCAAGACUCCUCCCAGCUGGGAGGCUCCCUCUCUUUGCCUGCGGUCCCCCUGAACCCUUUCCAGAACCUGCUUCUCUGGCGGGCAGCCAGGGGCUCCAACAAACACUGUUUUCUCAGCACAGAGACCAGGUACCUUUGUACAGACGGGCGGCUGAAUCUCUGGAGCAAAUCCAGGAGAGAUACUCAUCCGAGCUGGUGUUUCUCUAGACAACACAGGGCUGUGUCCAGUUGGCUGAGAAUCUGCUGGAUUUCAGAGUGCGGCACCAAGUUUUAGUUCAUCUAUUCAUUGGCUCUGUGAUUUGAGACAAAUACCUCCACCUCUCUGAGGCUCAGAUUUCCUUCUCUGAAAAAGGUCAUACAGCUAGAGUUCUUUAAGAUCUUGGCAUGUUCUAGAACACUGUGACCUCUCUCGAGUGAGAACAAGAGGGGAGUUUGGUCUGUUCCCUCCCCUGUCUAUUCUUUCGCUCCCUUCCUCCCUUCCUGUUCCUUUCUCCCUCUUUUUUCUUUCUUUCUUUUUUUUUUUCUUUCUGUCAUGUGCCAAGAUUCUAAGUUAACAGGCUGCUUUAGCUGAAAUUAGUACCUUAGAUUUUUUUUUUUUUUAAUCAUCCUGGGUAGGAGCCAGAGAAAUGAUCUCUGAGAAGCUGUGACCAUGUUGUGAUGCUCUUCGACGAGCCACAUUUCAAGCCACGAGAGUGCCAGACACACUAUCUGGGAAUCCCCAACAGACCAGGAUUUGCUUUGGAAUCCAGUGGUGCCAAGGACAGGACAGAGGGAGCCAUUUGCCCUGGGUGCCGUCACUGAUGGGCACAUUGUCUGUACAGAGUUUAAAAACAAUAGUGAAAGAGCCCAGAUGUCCAUCGACAGAUGAAUGGAUAAAGAAGAUGUGGUUUAUAUAUAUAUGAUGGAAUACUACUCAGACAUCAGAAAGGAUGAAAUCUUGCCAUUUGCAACGACGUGGAUGGCACUAGAGGGUAUUAUGCUGAGUGAGGUGGCCCCUGUUAUUACGCUGAAACCCAUCUACUCUGUUCCAAGCCUGCCCUCAUUUUUGUGCAAAGAAUUAUGAUUGACACAUGGGGGUCAGACUUCAUGGGGCCAUGCUGAACCUCAUCACUUCUUGGUGACUUUAAAAAUUUAUCUCAUCUGCAACUUACUUUCUUAGGUGUAAAAGAGGUGUCAUAUCACCAUUAGUGGUGCUAUUAGUGGUGCUGUAAAGAUUACAUGAGCUAAUUUUGUUGUGUUUAAUAAAAUUCCUAGGUACCAUUGGUACUCAAUUUUUUUUUUUAUGAAAAUUAGUGCCAAACUGAGCACACAUAGGUAAAAGUUUUGAACCAACAGAAUAUUGGAUCUGGGGGAGGAGCAAGAUGGCGGAAGAGUAGGGUCUCCAAAUCACCUGUCUCCACCAAACUACCUAGAAAACCUUCAAAUUAUCCUGAAAAUCUAU